rnacentral:rRNA from 1 species
ACGAUGCGUAGGGGUUCUGAGAGGAAGGUCCCCCACACUGGUACUGAGACACGGACCAGACUCCUACGGGAGGCAGCAGUGAGGAAUAUUGGUCAAUGGCCGCAGGGCUGAACCAGCCAAGUCGCGUGAGGGAUGACGGUCCUAUGGAUUGUAAACCUCUUUUGUCAGGGAGCAAAGGGCGCCACGUGUGGCGUUUUGCGAGUACCUGAAGAAAAAGCAUCGGCUAACUCCGUGCCAGCAGCCGCGGUAAUACGGAGGAUGCGAGCGUUAUCCGGAUUUAUUGGGUUUAAAGGGUGCGCAGGCGGAAUGUCAAGUCAGCGGUAAAAUUUCGGGGCUCAACCCCGUCGUGCCGUUGAAACUGGCGUUCUUGAGUGAGCGAGAAGUAUGCGGAAUGCGUGGUGUAGCGGUGAAAUGCAUAGAUAUCACGCAGAACUCCGAUUGCGAAGGCAGCAUACCGGCGCUCAACUGACGCUCAUGCACGAAAGCGUGGGUAUCGAACAGGAUUAGAUACCCUGGUAGUCCACGCAGUAAACGAUGAAUACUAACUGUCCGGGCAGAAUGAUGCCUGG